rnacentral:lncRNA from 1 species
UAUGCAGGUGACUGAACUGCACCAAAGCCUGACCCUGUGGGUGGUGAAUUUGCUGAGACACGUGACAACAGACCGCGUGUCCUGGGACCAUCCCUGGCAGCAAGAGUCAGACACCGAGAAGGAUGAGGAGCUCAGACUUCUGGAGGCCUGUAAGCUGCAGCACGGAGCUGAAGAGAUUGUUGCAGAGAUGGGCAGACUCUCUGGCUCCGUAAUCAGCUCCUGCCAUGAUAUUGUCAAUGCAAUCAUUCGAAAGAAACAUUCUGAAAUGGAUUUGGAAGCUGAUUUUGAGCUGGAGGAGCUGAAUAAGAUCGAGACUGAGUGCUGUAAUUGGAUUCAAGUGUGUAGUCUUCUCCUUUCAGAAAUCAGAGGCACUCCGGUCUCCCUUCUGGAUUUAGAAAAACU